AUAACUAAUGUUGUGUUCGUUUCCGCUGAUUUCACUGUUCACGUGUAUUUGUGAGCGAAGAAACGCUAUGAUUGUUGUGUUCGCUUCAGAGGAAAUGCAAGGAACGAUUUGCUGCGAUUUGCGGGAUGUAUCACUUUUUCAUCACCCGCAAUAAUGAAGAGAUUUGCAGGGAUUUACGGUGUAAUCUCUGAUUUACCCUUCUUCAACCUCUUGCUCCCAAAACCACACUUUCUCCUCUUCUGCCCCCAAAUCCAUCUCUUUCACUUCACUUUCGCCGCUGUAUUGCUGAAAGCCGUGAAAUUGAAGAUAGACUUUUGAGAUUCAAAU
rnacentral:lncRNA from 1 species